CAAUAGCCCUGAUGGAAACGGAAAUACUUUUUGGCUAUACAAUAUUGUAUUUGUGAAUACAUUUCCAAAAAGAUUGCAGUGAACAGCAGGACCAAGC
rnacentral:sRNA from 1 species